rnacentral:rRNA from 1 species
AACGAACGCUGGCGGCAUGCCUAACACAUGCAAGUCGAACGAGACCUUCGGGUCUAGUGGCGCACGGGUGCGUAACGCGUGGGAACCUGCCCUUAGGUUCGGAAUAACUCCCCGAAAGGGGUGCUAAUACCGGAUAAUGUCUUCGGACCAGAGAUUUAUCGCCUUUGGAUGGGCCCGCGUUGGUUUAGCUAGUUGGUAGGGUAAAAGCCUACCAAGGCGGCGAUCCAUAGCUGGUCUGAGAGGAUGAUCAUCCACACUGGGACUGAGACACGGCCCAGACUCCUACGGGAGGCAGCAGUGGGGAAUAAUGGACAGUGGGCGAAAGCCUGAUCCAGCAAUGCCGCGUGAGUGAUGAAGGCCUUAGGGUUGUAAAGCGCUUUUACCCGGGAUGAUAAUGACAGUACCGGGAGAAUAAGCUCCGGCUAACUCCGU